AUUUUAAACAGUAAAAUCGUGAUUUUACUAUUCACCACACGGAGAAAAAAAUAUCGUUAGAAUAAGGAUACGUAUCGUUAUUCUGACUAUACGCCGUAUAGUCAUUUUUUUAGAGAUAUACGCUGUAUAGCCAAUUCAGCUAUACAGCGGAUCAUCAAAAUGACGAUCCAUAUCAUUAUUUUAGCGUUACAUUUAGUUAAUUCAACUAUACAGAUCCUCACGUUAACAAAACAAUUGCCUGUUUUGACGAAACUACAUAUAUUGACAAGAGCUAUACUCUGUAUGCUUAAGUCAAACAAAUGAAUCCUUAAAUCAGCAAUCCGGAUCGUUAUUUUAAGGAAACGUCAUUUGAGGAUACGUUGGAUAGUCAUUUUAACAAUAUUUUUUUUUCCGUGCAG